CUUAUUCUGCCAGUCUCAGGAGUGUCCCCAGUGGACCGGGAAGCACCCUGUUGCUGCCGCCCCUCUACAGGCCGUGACAGGUCUCAGCUCAAGCUGACCCUGCUGACCCCUUCUCCGAAGCAGGUUCAGACCAAGGGCACUGCCACCCUGGUGUGCCUCGCCAAUCACUUCUAUCCUGAUGAGCUGGUGGUACAGUGGAAGAAGGAUGGUGCAGUCAUUUCAGACGGGGUUCAGACCAGCAACUACCUGUGAGCUUCGGACAGCACCUACAGAGUCAGCAGCAUGCUGACCCUCUCUGGCUCCAACUGGGAGUCCAACGCUCGCUUCUCCUGUGCCCUCACCCACAUCACCCUCCCCUCUCCCCUCAGCAAGACCAUCAGGAGAUCAGAAUGUGUGUA